UGGGUUUGACAUAUACCGGACCGGGUGUGAAAGCACUCUUCUCUUCGGAGUCGGUAUACAGGUGCUGCAUGGCUGUCGUCAGCUCGUGUCGUGAGAUGUUCGGUUAAGUCCGGCAACGAGCGCAACCCGUGUCGUCAGUUGCUAACAGGUAAUGCUGAGGACUCUGGCGAGACUGCCCGUGUCAAGCGGGAGGAAGGCGCGGAUGACGUCAAGUCCGUAUGGCCCUUACAUCCAGGGCUGCACACGUGCUACAAUGGUCGGUACAAUGAGACGCGAUACCGCGAGGUUGAGCAAAUCUGUCAAAACCGGCCCCAGUUCGGAUUGGAGUCUGCAACUCGACUCCAUGAAGUCGGAAUCGCUAGUAAAGGGGUAUCAGCAACGGCCCCUUGAAUACGUUCCCGGGCCU
rnacentral:rRNA from 1 species